rnacentral:rRNA from 1 species
ACGUAGGCAGCGAGCGUUGUUCGGAAUUACUGGGCGUAAAGAGUGUGUAGGCGGUGCUCCAAGUCUGGUGUGAAAUCUCCCGGCUUAACUGGGAGGGUGCGCUAGAAACUGGAAUGCUAGAGGAUGGGAUAGGUAAGCGGAAUUCCUGGUGUAGCGGUGAAAUGCGUAGAUAUCAGGAGGAACACCUGUGGUGUAGACAGCUUACUGGACCAUUUCUGACGCUGAGACACGAAAGCGUGGGUAGCAAACAGGAUUAGAUACCCUGGUAGUCCACGCCCUAAACGAUGCAUACUUGGUGUGAGCGAUUCAUUUCGUUCGUGCCGGAGCUAACGCGUUAAGUAUGCCGCCUGGGGAGUACGGUCGCAAGGCUG